rfam:Arabis alpina cultivar Pajares scaff_61551_1_contig_9, whole genome shotgun sequence.
ACCAAUUCUGUUGGAUAAAAACAGUUUCUUCAGGUAUAAUGGCUUGUGACGCUAUAUUGAUUAGUUGUGGUAUAUCCUGAUCAUCUUGCUUUAUUCUCUUCCUUUUGAUCCUGGAAAUGCCUCGCAUAUUC